rnacentral:misc_RNA from 1 species
CGAUAUUUACAUGUAUUUUGAUUCCAGCCCCAUAAUCAGAUCACAAAAUCAAUCAACGAUUGAAAGUUACGAAAAUAUUUAAAUUUUUCGGCUCUCUCCAGCGAAGCCCGGCGGAUACCCAUAUUUAGUUAAUCACGCAUCGAUGAAGUUCCGUCGUUAUGAUCCACGCAGAGACCGCAGGAAUAUUCCAAAAUAUGAUUCGGAAAUAGUAGGACCGUUUGAUCGGGUGUCCAAUAGACGAAUAAUGCAAUGUCUGGCACUGUUGUGGAACCAAUGGGUCGACGAGUUAGAGAAAUUAGACUUUCCUUACG